GCCAGACUCCUACGGGAGGCAGCAGUGGGGAAUAUUGGACAAUGGGGGAAACCCUGAUCCAGCGACGCCGCGUGAGUGAAGAAGUAUCUCGGUAUGUAAAGCUCUAUCAGCAGGGAAGAAAGAAAUGACGGUACCUGACUAAGAAGCCCCGGCUAACUACGUGCCAGCAGCCGCGGUAAUACGUAGGGGGCAAGCGUUAUCCGGAUUUACUGGGUGUAAAGGGAGCGUAGACGGCUGAGCAAGUCUGAAGUGAAAGGCGGGGGCCCAACCCCCGGACUGCUUUGGAAACUGUAUAGCUAGAGUGCAGGAGAGGUAAGUGGAAUUCCUAGUGUAGCGGUGAAAUGCGUAGAUAUUAGGAGGAACACCAGUGGCGAAGGCGGCUUACUGGACUGUAACUGACGUUGAGGCUCGAAAGCGUGGGGAGCAAACAGGAUUAGAUACCCGGGUAA
rnacentral:rRNA from 1 species